rnacentral:rRNA from 1 species
UACAGAGGGGGCAAGCGUUAUUCGGAAUUAUUGGGCGUAAAGGGCGCGUAGGCGGCCUGGCAAGUGGAAGGUGAAAUCCCUCGGCUUAACCGAGGAACUGCCCUCCAAACUGCUUGGCUUGAGUCCGGGAGAGGUGAGUGGAAUUCCCAGUGUAGCGGUGAAAUGCGUAGAUAUUGGGAGGAACACCAGUGGCGAAGGCAGCUCACUGGACCGGAACUGACGCUGAGGCGCGAAAGCGUGGGGAGCAAACGGG